rnacentral:rRNA from 1 species
GACGGAGGAGGCAAGCGUUAUCCGGAGUUACUGGGCGUAAAGGGCGCGGAGGCGGUCUGCGGCGUCGGCGCUGAAAGCGCCCCGCUUAACGGGGCGAGGCGUGCCGAUACGCGCAGACUUGAGGCGAGCAGAGGGUGGUGGAAUUCCGGGUGGAGCGGUGAAAUGCGUAGAGAUCCGGAGGAACGCCAGUGGGGAAGCCGGCCACCUGGGCUCGUCCUGACGCUGCGGCGCGACCGCGUGGGGAGCAAACCGG